GCUGUUUGAGGUUUGUGUAAAAGAGAAGGAAGCAGUGAGAGGUAACAGAUAGAAGAAGCAGCUGAACAAAAACUCAUCACAGCUUCUGUUUAUUCUGCAUUUAUUAUUCAUACAAAGUAAAACAGUUUGAGAUUAGCUGUGUGUCUGAGUGUAGCAGGGCUGGACGUGAGGAUGACACACAUUUUACUCUGCAUGUCUGGAUUAUUCUUGCUCAGUGCAGUCAUCUGUGGAAACGCUGAAGAACUUGGAGUGAAGGCCACUGUGACAGCAGACAGAUUAACCAUACCAACAGGGGGCAGUGUGACACUGACCUGUGUUGCGCAGCACUUUGCUGACUUGGAAUAUUAUUGGAUUAGAGAAACCUCAUCUGAAAACAAGUCCUUAAUAUCUACUGGAGCAGUCAUUAGUAUCUCUGAAGGAGGCAACUACACCUGUAGAGGAUGGAGAAGAGACACAAAUUCACUGCUAACAGAAAGUGAUUCAGUCACCAUUCAGGAAACUGUUUCCAACAGGACCGAUGUGAAACUGCAGCACAGCUGGUCUCAGAUAUUCACUGGUGAGACAAUCACUCUCAGAUGUGAGAUUCAGGGAGGUGAAGGAAAGGUGUGGAAAUAUGAAUGGACAGCACCCAACACAAACAGCCCUCCAACAUCCAGUGAAUACAGGAUCAGCAGAGUUUCAGUGUCCCACAGUGGAGACUACAGAUGUCGGGGUAGCAGUGACUAUCUCUUAACAGGAUGGAGUGAUGCCUUCAGACUGACAGUUUCAUCAGCAAGUAAACCCAGAGCCACACUGACAGCACAAAGUUCAGUCAUACCAGCAGGGGGCAGUGUGACACUGAGCUGCUCUGUGGAGGGCUCUGCUGGCUGGAAGUUUGACUGGUUCAGACGUGAUUCAGAGUUUUCUGUACCUCAGAAAAUAGAAGCUGGAACAUCAGAGCACACUAUCAGUAUUUCAGAAGGAGGCAUCUAUUACUGCAGAGGAGGGAGAGGAGAUCCAGUUUUCUCCACAGAGGACAGCAGUGACGUCACCGUUAAAGAAGCUAUUUCAGGUUUUGGAUGUGAAAGAAGUUCAUUUAUUGUUCCGUUCAUCAUCGGACUUGUUAGUGGAAUUAUUGUCGUGCUGCUGCUGAUGUGUUGCUACAGAAAAAUAAAGAAACCCUGUUGUAACAGUCUCACUCAGUCUCAGAGCACCAAUCAAAGCUCUGCUUCACAACAAACAGCCAACCAGAAUAAAACUCAGGUUUACUCCUCUCUUCUUCAUGGUGAUCUUUCAGUCUAUGAAUCAAUCAGAGGCUCUGGAAACACUGGAAGUGCAGAUGAAUACAACAACGUCACAUCUGGAUUUCAGCUUGAAGGUCUUGAUAAGAGGAGCAGACAUGAUGGCACAGAGGAGAGCUCUGACUACAAUAAUGUGAAUCCUGAAUCAGCCUCAGGUCCAUAAAAAGAUUAUUUCAACAAAACUCAAGACUCACGAACAACGUCAGCAACAAAAUCCAACUCAGAACAUUUUGACAACAUUUAGAGAACUGCCAGCAUCCAGAUCAACAGCAGUUAUAUUAAACAAUGACAUGCUCUUG